ACGAUCUCCAGUAUACCUAUGCACAAGUAAUUUCCCACAAGAUUUACACUUAGCCUUAUUUUGUUCUCUUAGUUGAAUAAACAAUUGCCAAACUAAUGAAGUUUCUGAACGUUUAGGAGGUUGUCUACUAAAAGUGGAAGUUUGUACGGGUGGGUGUUCCGGUUCAUUAGUAGCAGGACUAGUAGGUGUAUCAUCUACAUCUACUGGAGCUUGGGUUUCGUCAUCAUCA
rnacentral:lncRNA from 1 species